UACGGAGGGUGCAAGCGUUAAUCGGAAUCACUGGGCGUAAAGCGCGCGUAGGCGGCCAGGUAAGUCAGAUGUGAAAGCCCCGAGCUCAACUUGGGAACUGCAUUUGAUACUGCCGGGCUCGAGUCCGAUAGAGGGGGGUGGAAUUCCAGGUGUAGCGGUGAAAUGCGUAGAUAUCUGGAGGAACACCGGUGGCGAAGGCGGCCCCCUGGAUCGAGACUGACGCUGAGGUGCGAAAGCGUGGGGAGCAAACAGG
rnacentral:rRNA from 1 species